rnacentral:rRNA from 1 species
UACGUAGGGGGCGAGCGUUGUCCGGAUUCAUUGGGCGUAAAGAGCUCGUAGGCGGUUCGGCAAGUCGGGUGUGAAAACUCCAGGCUCAACCUGGAGACGCCACCCGAUACUGCUGUGACUCGAGUCCGGUAGGGGACCACGGAAUUCCUGGUGUAGCGGUGAAAUGCGCAGAUAUCAGGAAGAACACCCGUGGCGAAGGCGGCUCUCUGGAACGCAACUGACGCUGAGACGCGAAAGCGUGGGGAGCAAACAGG